GUGGUAGCUAAAUGGUAGGGCAUCUGCUUUGCAUGCAGAAGGUCCCAGGCUCAAUCUCCAGCAUCUCCA